AGCAAAUAGAUACCCGGGUAGUCCACGCCGUAAACUAUGGAUGCUAGCUGUUACGAGUAUCGACCCUCGUAAAUAGCGAAAGCUAACGCGUUAAGCAUCCCACCUGUGGAGUACGGUCGCAAGACUAAAACAUAAAGGAAUUGACGGGGACCCGCACAAGCGGUGGAGCGUGUUGUUUAAUUCGAUGAUAAGCGAAGAACCUUACCCAGGCUUGACAUCCUUGGAAGCACUGCGAAAGCAGAGUGUGCCUUCGGGAACCAAGUGACAGGUGAUGCAUGGCCGUCGUCAGCUCGUGUCGUGAGAUGUUUGGUUAAGUCCAUCAACGAGCGCAACCCUUGUGGCUAGUUGAAUUUUUCUAGUCAGACUGCCCUGGUAACAGGGAGGAAGGAGGGGAUGAUGUCAGGUCAGUAUCUCCCUUACGUCUGGGGCUACAAACACGCUACAAUGGCCGGUACAAAGGGCAGCCAAGUCGCAAGACGGAGCAAAUCCCAUCAAAGCCGGUCCCAGUUCGGAUUGGAGGCUGAAACUCGCCUCC
rnacentral:rRNA from 1 species